AUUGAACGCUGGCGGCAGGCCUAACACAUGCAAGUCGAGCGGAUGAAGGGAGCUUGCUCCUGGAUUCAGCGGCGGACGGGUGAGUAAUGCCUAGGAAUCUGCCUGGUAGUGGGGGAUAACGUCCGGAAACGGGCGCUAAUACCGCAUACGUCCUGAGGGAGAAAGUGGGGGAUCUUCGGACCUCACGCUAUCAGAUGAGCCUAGGUCGGAUUAGCUAGUUGGUGGGGUAAAGGCCUACCAAGGCGACGAUCCGUAACUGGUCUGAGAGGAUGAUCAGUCACACGGGAACUGAGACACGGUCCAGACUCCUACGGGAGGCCGCAGUGGGGAAUAUUGGACAAUGGGCGAAAGCCUGAUCCAGCCAUGCCGCGUGUGUGAAGAAGGUCUUCGGAUUGUAAAGCACUGUAAGUUGGGAGGAAGGGCAGUAAGUUAAUACCUUGCUGCUUUGACGUUACCAACAGAAUAAGCACCGGCUAACUUCGUG
rnacentral:rRNA from 1 species